CGUAAUACAGCGCGGAUGAAAAGGAUUCAGACUACGGCGUUUAUAUGUUCAACAAUAGGAAACGCAGUCUUAGCUGUUUUUAAAUUACACCAAGUUUAUUUCGGAUUAUUCCAAGAAGAAUACAAGGCGCAGGGAACUUUAAGGUGCGUAAACGCCACUUAGAGGUGGGUAAACGCUAUUUAUUGCUGCGUAAACGCUAUUUCCAAAAUUCUAGAGGUGCGUAAACGGCGUUUACGUGCGUUUACCCUCCACUACAGCCCUGAGUACAAUAUUAAGUGGUAGUGUUGUAGAAGUAUGAAGCAUCAUUAAAUAAAAAUACCCAAGUAACAAACAAUACAAUGUUAACUCCAGUUUGUUCCAUCAGAAUAUUUAAACAUCUAGUUUGUUUUUCUCAGUAAAUACUUCACAUAUUUAAAGUAUUUUGGGUUUUUAGGACUUUACACCUGGUGAGGUCACUUUCACUCAGUGGCAGCUGGUGGAUUUUUUUGUUGGUAGGGCCAGCUUAUCAGUUUCAGUAAACAUCGCAGACAAGUGAAGUUUGUCAAAACUAAAAGCUGAUUAAAACAUAUUUGAGAUCAACAAUGUCCCAGGAGAGGCUGUUUGCACUCGCUGUUCUCUCCAUUGAGCAGGAAGUCAGUGGAUAUGGAUCCUCAUUGCAAGAUUUGCUGAAACCAAGGCUCGCAAAAUAAGAUUUUAAGGACAAAAGGGAGAAAAUACAAAGAAAAAGGGACAGGAAGAUGUGUAAAAGGGACAGAAGAGAAAAAGGGAGAGAGAUGAUGUGAAAAAGGGGCAGGAAGAGAGGGACAACAGCGCCACAACAUAGAGGACAGCUUCUACUGGCUUGCUGCUACCCACCUCUGCCACCUGAGCUGUGUAAAGGGAGGAGAUGAUCUGCAGGAUCCUGGUGAUCUUCAUCCUGACCUCCUGUGUCUGUGCAGGGUCAUUUGUAGUCAAUGUGACACAGAGCUGGUAUCAUGCAGAGGAGAACCACAACGUCUCACUGGAAUGGAUGUUCCCCACCAGCACGGACCACUCCACCAACUCCCUUUAUGUCUCAUGCGAGAUGUUAGUUGAUAUGAUACCAUUACUCAUGUUUCAUCUACAUAAAGGUGUUGAGUUCCCAGAGUUGCAGGACAAACGCUUUGCAGGACGAGUCCAGUGGGACAAAGACGUCCUCGGAGAAGGACAACUCAGACUUCACAUCUCCAGACUCCAGACUAAUGACUCGGGGCUGUACUGGUGUGAAGUGGACACAAGUUAUGGGAGGAACUUUAAGGAAUGUCACCUCAACGUCACCGGUAGGUUCAUUAAGUUAAAUUUACUAACACGUUCAGCAACUUCAUUCAGAUACAUUUUUUUUUUCUUUACAUGAAUAAAAAAUAUUUCUCUGGUCUCUUUGCAGCAGUGAAGGAUCGGCCUGAGACAACAAGUGAUACGAGUCUGAGAAGAAGUCCUCAGGGAAUGAUCGGCCUCUACUCUGCACUGGGACUGACCGCUGUACUGGGUUUUUAUUUAUUUUAUCUCUGCAUGGCAAAAAAUAUUAGAGAUCAACACAACAAACGAACCACAUCUGUAUCUUGGACAUCUUGGAUCUUGUAAAGUGGACGUUACAAUUUAAUUGUGUUGUUGUGCAACUGGUCAGACCGGCCGUCUGAGGAACUAGCUUUUUCCCAGAGCUGUUACAUUACAUUACAGGUCACCCUUUUGAACUCUUUCCCCCCCCUCUGGUCCCCAUUACACUACUCUAUCUGCACUGAAGACACUUUAUACCAUUUGUUUACUCUCAAUUCAAUAUGCACUUAAUAUUUGCACUAGUUUAGCAACCCCUGAUGGUUUCUGUUUAUAUCUCCACAUUUAAUGUGAAUCUGUCUGUUUUGCCUAAUUUAUUACCAAAUAGUACCAUAGGCCAUAAGACAACCUCUGUAUAGUGUUUAAUGUAUCUAUGAUCUGUAUAUACUGUUAUCUAUUAAAAUACUUUCUGUUGCACUGGUUUGAUGCCAAACUGCAUUUCGCUGCUCGCUACUUGUACAUGUGUAAUGACAAUAAAGUUGAAUCUAAU
ensembl:lncRNA